rnacentral:rRNA from 1 species
AUGCAGCUGGCAAUGCCAACAAUGAACAAGAUGAGAGCACUGACAGUGCCCCUAGUCCACUGCUCUUGGGCGCAAAGCCAAAGAAAGGACUCACUUCCAAGUGCAGCCCUGAGAUUCAGACUCAGAAGAGGCAAAAGAAUCAGGAGGCUAUUCAGAAUGGGUCUCACGAGGAACCUGCAGCACCCGAGCAGAAGAAUCUAG